AUUAGUGACCAAUCAUGUUGGGUCAGUAAUGUUUUUAGACUUAAUUAGGCGUGGUUCUGAUUUAGUGACCAAAAUUUUUCAGGAGGGAAUUUUUCACUUACAGGCGGGUUCUUAAAAAUUAAAACAUGGCUUUCAAAAUGAAAUUCUUUUCCAAGCGCGGCAUUCCAAAGCGAUAUGUUUAACCCCGUAUAAAGAUAAAUUCCUUGGUUUCGGAACCUCUUUAUCUUCAUCGUCCUCCUCCCGCACUCCUCUUCUCGCCCUCAACCCCUUUGCUUCAUGGUGGAUCGAGGUCUCAAUUCGGACCACUUGGACAGCCCGUCUGAAUCUGUCACGGUGUCGUUCGACCUUAAUUUGCUGUCGUUAAUUCGCUGGACAGCGCUCCCAGAGUUAGCCGUCGCGUUAUGACUUAUGAGAUUCUACCAAUUACGAUUGGGUUUAUUUGGAUAUCAUGGAUUACAGGUUUUUUUUUGGCAAGUAAAGCUUUGAGAUUUCGGACGCUGAGGUAUCAUUUGCUAUUGGAAUCUGAGGUAUCCACCAACACAUGACUAUGAAGCUUUAUUUCUUCAUUUAUUUUUUAGUUAUAUUCAUGGGUCUAUUUCAUCUCUUUUAGAAAAGUUUGAAUAAUUUUUUUCUUUUGUUUUGUUAUCAAAAUAGGGAUUGAUAGUGUGCUUAUGUGGAAUUCAUUGGAAUUAAGUAUACUUGAGAAGUAUUAGUACACUUUGUUGUAAGUUGAUGAAAUUUUCUAAAUUAAGGUUCCAUCAGAUUAAAGAUUUCUCUAAAAUUUUCUACUAUAUCUUUGUACAGUUAACGAAUUUGGUUCUAUGUCUUUGAAGGAUUUGUGACUGGGUUUCUUUCUAUUUGAAUUCAAUUGUCUAGUUAACUGAUUUCUUUUGAUUUUUCUGUUUCAAAUUGUAUAUAUUAAUGAGGCAAUUGUUGUAAACAGACUAAUUUGAACUGUGAUCUCAAGAAUCAUGCUGAUAAGGACCCUUAUGAAGAAAUAGGAAGAGUACAUUAAUUGUAGAUAACCUAACCAUUAUGAUGAAUUGGUUCUGCAGUAAGUAGAGCUUCUCUCUAUAUCAUGUUAAAAUUAAACUAUACUUUGUUAAUUAUAGUGUAAUUACUUGUUACAUAGGUUUUUCAAUUUGAUAAUUUGUCUUUUGAUCACUGUGUUUUAUCCUCGUUCUUGUAUUUUACUCUCACGUGUAAACAUUUUAACACCAUAUUGACACAAGAUUAGGACACCAUUUUUUAGGACAAACACAAUGACCCUUUUUUCUUUUGGUCUAAAGGAUUAAACAGAAUAAUCAAAUUGGUCAUUUACUAAUGGUGUGCAUAAAUUUUGUGGAGCUAAAAAAUAUGUUCUCUCUUUUUUCUUUUUUUUGGAAGAAGAAAGCGAAUGUUUCAUCCUUUUGUGCUUGCGCGUCGGAGUGUUACACAUUGGCAACCAAACCGAUAAAUGCAUACUUCAUAUACUGCUUGCUAUGUCUAAAUGAUUAUCAUUGCAUUUUUUACCAUAUCUUUCCAGAAUAAAUACAAGGAGAUUUCAAAGUUUUCAAAGUUUCUCUAUAUGUUCUUACACUUCUUCAUGUUGCCUCCAUUUACUAAUCAUCUCAAAACUUAGACACCAAACAGAACCAUUCCCAAUUCAAAAGCAAAACAAGGAAGCUAGAUACCAACUAUAACUAGCUAGCUAGCUACAACCAUGGAAGAAUCCCCAUAUAGUUCCCUGGGACGAGAGGAACCUGAGUUCAUCUUGAGAGAUUGGGCUGCCAAGGCUAGAGGAAUCAGCCGCGUAAACACGAAUUCCAGAAGGUUCUCAGCAUCCUACAUUAGAAGCUUUAUAGAAGACACAGGGUCUUUCAGAUCAAACAUUACCAUCUCUAGCACUGCUUCUUCUCCUGGCUAUGCCUUAAGAGAUGAAAUUGACCCUGCAUCUUACUCAUUCACCACGGCCCUCAAAGCAUUACAAGCAAGGUCUGCCUACAAUAGUUGGGAGGCUUUAUCCCCAGAUGGGUUUGCUUUACAUUCAAAGUGGUCUUGCAAAUGAAGAAUUUGGUUUUUUUUUUUUGUUAAAUGGAUGUACAUUGUGUUUUUGUUCUGUCUCUAAUUAUAAGAAGGUUCUGACAGGGAUGUAAUUGAUUCAUUUUUUUUUUUCAAGCCUUGAUUGUUUUUGUUGGAGAUGUGGUGUAAAAAGUUGAGGGAUUCUUCACAUCUGGUAAAAAUUCUGAAGCAUAGAGAAUUGACAUUUUGUGAAAGCUUAGGUAGCUAGUUAUUUGCAGUUUUUGUUUGCUCAUGUGUAAGUUGCUGAAGUAUCAAGGAUCAAUGGUAAUCUAUGAUUUGGAGCUCCAAAUUAAUUGCAAAUCAUGUGUAGUGCUCUUCUAUAUAGUCAUGCGCUGUAGCCUGUGGGUUCUUUAUGGUCCAUACUCCAUACUAAUGUUUCACUUCUCCAUUGUCCUCUUCAAUUUUGUAUCUUUAUCUUUGCAGUUAUUAGUGACUGUGAUUAUGUAUUUUCUGAGAAUGGUCUUGUGGCUCACAAAGAUGGGAAGCUCAUUGGCACCCAGGUAUGACAAAACUUAGUAGUGAUAAUAGGAAACAAGUUCUCAUGUUCAUGACAGUGUGCUGUUUAAGUGAUUUUUCUUUGAGAUAUAAAUCAACCACAUGUGAAAGUUGAUAUUCUUAAGCAUUAUGUGGCAAAAAAGAUGUUUUGAUUGUAACUCAUGAUCCUUUGCUAGAUUAAUGUAUGGCUGAGAACAUAAGGAAACAAAAUCUAUGGUUCUGAUACCCCAAAUCUGAACAAAGUAUGUAUUGUUAACAUAAAAACCUUUUCUGAAAGAAAAAAGAACAAAAAGCAAGUGGAUAAUCUUCUAGCAAAGAUAAAUAUAUCCAUGAUACAAUCUUAUUCUAUGGAUUUUUUUAGUUUCAUUUUGAGGAAAUGUGAUGAUCUGUGGCCAAUAGAAGGUCAUGUAGCCCAUUAGAUUGAGGUGGUCAUGUGCUGUAGCCUAUUAGAUUGAGGUAGUCAUGUGCUGUAGCCUGUAGCCUGUGGGUUCCUUAUGGUCCAUACUAAUAUUUCACUUCUCCAUUGUCCUCUUCAAUUUUGUUUCUGUUUGUCUGAAAUUUUGCACUUUCCAAGAUUGAAAAGCCUUUAGCUAGGUUUAGAUGCUCAUUAAUGAUUAUUGGUUAUGAUAUGAUCCACGACAGUGUUGUAUUCUUUGUCCAUUUCCUGAAUGUAUUUGAUAAAUACCAGACUAAUGGGUUUUGUGUUUUUCAUUUUUAGAGCUUGAAGUCACAUCUUGGUGAUGAUAAGCUCAAGAUAAAAUGUAUCCUCCAUUGUAUUGUACUGGCUUCUGUACUUGGAAGAGACCUAAGGAGUCUGAAGCACUAUUUUGAAAUAGGUUUGUUUAUAACUGUGCAGGAAUUUAUCAAUUUUACACUUCACUAUAUUGUUGACUUGGACAUACUGAUAAAGAGGUUAGUGGAGUGGGGAACCUUUGCUAAAGCUUAACCUGUGUAUGGUAAAACUUAUACUCAUUUUUAAUUAUAACUAUGGGGGUACAUUUAUUGAGUUCCAAAGUGGGAUGAUUAAUGUAUCACCAAUUGGGCGAAACUAUAGCCAAGAGGAAAGAGAUGGAUUUGAAAGAUAUGACAAGGUUAGAUACUUAUGUUACAAAAUAGUUAAACUGCUAUUUCAUUUAAUUCUUUAUAAAUCAUCAUAUUGGUUUGCAGGUUCACAACGUACGCCUGAAAAUGGUUUCUAUCCUUCGUGAGAGGUUUGCUCACUUUAACCUGAUAUUUUCCAUUGGAGGACAGAUAAGCUUUGAUAAUGGUGAAGACUUUCAUUUCAAAGGAAGAUAUAUCAAAGCACAUCAAUUACAACUGUUAUAUGUGACAAGUUGCAUAAGCUUGUCCAUCUUUCUCUUGGAUUUUGUUGUCAUGGAAGUACUGAAAUUGUUUUAGGAUUUUAAAUUAGUUUUCAAGGACAUGUACUUGUGAACAUGAUGAAUAAGUGAUAAUGUGGAUCAAUGUAUUUAGUUUAAUACAAUUUCUAUUAUAUAGAA